CCCAGUGGAAGGUGGAAGGUGACAGGGUUGUUCAGGAAGAUGCAAAGCAGCUCAGUCCUGACUUAGUUGGAGACUGGUGUCUACCAGAUAUCUGCUGUCCACACAAGCUACAGCUAUGCAGAGAGGCCGGGUGAAGAAGUUGCGAUGCCAAGAGACUGGGAAAUAUGUUUAAGUUCACUUAGCUAGCACAGUCGGGCCUCUGUAUCCGCGGUUCCAUAUCCGCAGAUUCAACCAACUAAGGAUUGAAAAGAUGUGAAAAAGAACAAUAAAAAAUGACAUAAAAUAAUACAAACAAGAAACCAUUGCAGUAUAAUAACUAUUUACCUAGCAUUUACACUGUAUUAGGUAAUCUAGAGAGGAUUUUUAAGGCAUAUGGGAGGACAGGUAUAGGUUAUAUGCAGAUACUACAUCAUUUUAUAUAAGGGACUUGAGUAUUUGAGGAUUUUGGUAUCCUGGGGGCAGAGGGAUGUCCUGGGACCAAUACCCUGGGAUAAUGAGGGAUGACUAUUUGUACUUUGCAGCAAGGACACAGAGCAUAAUGAAAAAGAUGCACACUUUGGGAGGCUGAGGCAGGUGGAUCACUCGAGGCCAGGAGUUCAAGACCAGCCUGGCCAACAUGAUG